rnacentral:rRNA from 1 species
GGUUAAGCGACUAAGCGUACACGGUGGAUGCCUAGGCAGUCAGAGGCGAUGAAGGACGUGCUAAUCUGCGAAAAGCGCCGGUAAGGUGAUAGGAACCGUUACAGCCGGCGAUGUCCGAAUGGGGAAACCCAGUGCAAUCCGUUGCACUAUCAUUCACUGAAUCCAUAGGGGAAUGAGGCGAACCGGGGGAACUGAAACAUCUCAGUACCCCGAGGAAAAGAAAUCAACCGAGAUUCCCCCAGUAGCGGCGAGCGAACGGGGAG